UGGGGAAUAUUGGACAAUGGGCGCAAGCCUGAUCCAGCCAUGCCGCGUGAGUGAUGAAGGCCCUAGGGUUGUAAAGCUCUUUCACCGGUGAAGAUAAUGACGGUAACCGGAGAAGAAGCCCCGGCUAACUUCGUGCCAGCAGCCGCGGUAAUACGAAGGGGGCUAGCGUUGUUCGGAUUUACUGGGCGUAAAGCGCACGUAGGCGGACUUUUAAGUCAGGGGUGAAAUCCCGGGGCUCAACCCCGGAACUGCCUUUGAUACUGGAAGUCUUGAGUAUGGUAGAGGUGAGUGGAAUUCCGAGUGUAAAGGUGAAAUUCGUAGAUAUUCGGAGGAACACCAGUGGCGAAGGCGGCUCACUGGACCAUUACUGACGCUGAGGUGCGAAAGCGUGGGGAGCAAACAGG
rnacentral:rRNA from 1 species